UCCCUCUGGGAACCACCACACUGCUGUCUGUGUCCAUGAGUUUCAGGUUUAUAUUCCACUUGUGAGUGACAUCAUAGGGUUCUUAAUUUUUUGUCUGACUUGUUUCACUUAGCAUGACAUUCAGAGUCUAUCCAUGUGAUCACAGAUGGCAGUAUUCUGUCUUUUCCUAUGGCUGAGUGGUGUUUGUGUGUGACUUUUCAUCUCAUUCUCUUUGCCUGUCCCCAUCUGACAGCAACAGGAGUCAUUUUGCCUGUCAUUGUCCCCACAUGACCAGGGUGGUCCUUGCACUCAGGAAUCUGUGGUUUCGAGAGGUGAAGUUUCAGACUCAUCCUGCUCUUGCCUCCCUGGGCAUGAUUGUUCUUCCCACCUUUUCCCAGCCUCCUCCAGGGAACUGGGUUCUGGAAUCAGCAGAGAGCAGGGGGCCUGAAAUGUUUCAUCUCAGACACAUUCCUGCUGCGAUUCUGCUCUGCUCGGCCACCAUCUCCCCUGGCCCUUCACUCUAGUGGGGGCCGCAGUGCAAACUCAGGGAUUCACAGAGCAGAGGCCCCUGCAGGUUUAAGAGGGCAGCACCAUGGGGAAGUGUGGGGGCAUCCAUGGCAGCGUGACUGCAGGUUGUGCUGUGGCUGCCACAGCACAGCUGGGGGCUGGGCCACAUCAAUAAAGACACUGUCACUACAAUAGGGAGGUGUCCUACAGUGAUGGGUCACUCACUAGUAAUGUGUUAUGAGUCCUGG